UGGGGAAUAUUGCACAAUGGGCGCAAGCCUGAUGCAGCAACGCCGCGUGAGGGAUGACGGCCUUCGGGUUGUAAACCUCUUUUAGUAGGGAAGAAGCGAAAGUGACGGUACCUGCAGAAAAAGCACCGGCUAACUACGUGCCAGCAGCCGCGGUAAUACGUAGGGUGCAAGCGUUGUCCGGAAUUAUUGGGCGUAAAGAGCUCGUAGGCGGCUUGUCGCGUCUGCUGUGAAAACUGGAGGCUCAACCUCCAGCCUGCAGUGGGUACGGGCAAGCUAGAGCGCGGUAGGGGAGAUUGGAAUUCCUGGUGUAGCGGUGGAAUGCGCAGAUAUCAGGAGGAACAUCGAUGGCGAAGGCAGAUCUCUGGGCCGUUACUGACGCUGAGGAGCGAAAGCAUGGGGAGCGAACAGG
rnacentral:rRNA from 1 species